CUGCUGCCUCCCGUAGGAGUCUGGUCCGUGUCUCAGUACCAGUGUGGGGGACCUUCCUCUCAGAACCCCUAGACAUCGUCGCCUUGGUGGGCCGUUACCCCGCCAACUAGCUAAUGUCACGCAUGCCCAUCCGUCUCCGGAGUCGCCUCCUUUGGCCGAAAGAAGAUGCCUCCCCUCGGCCACAUGCGGUAUUAGGCCGGAUUUCUCCGGGUUAUCCCGCUGAAACGGGCAGGUUGCAUACGCGUUACUCACCCGUGCGCCGGUCGCCCGG
rnacentral:rRNA from 1 species